AGUAAAUCGGUGACGUUUGUUAAAACGAGCUAAACAUUAUUUGUUUUAGAAAUCAUCAGUCAUGAUGAUGAAAAUAAUAUUGGUCUUAUUUUUAUAUGUUGCUAUUCUAGAUUCAAAAGUAUGUAUAAGUUCAAGUGGAGCCCUUAUUUGCUGUCAAGGUUACUUGUGGAAUAAAAUAAAAACAGAUGUACUAGUAUUCGUAGAACAAGGUUUUAAUCCGUCAACUUUGUGGUGGACCAUUUACAGUGGCUAUUCGUCAACUUCUGUUGUUCAAACCGAAGGAUUAAAUGGUAAAUAUGAUAAACUUAUAAAAUUAAUUUGUAAUGUUAACCAUGACUUAAUGCUGCAGUUCAAAUUAGAUUUUGAUUGUAUGCGUUAAACUAUAUUACAUGUAGCAGCGUUUA